UUUCUGUUAGCCUUGUUGGGUUGAUGUCGAUCACAACUCUCUGCUGGUUCUGCUUCUCCUGCUGUUGCUGCUUAGUUAGGCAUUUUAGCUUUGCAGAUAAAGCUCAGAAAGUUGCACAGGCUGUAAAAGGGUAAAUUUUUCUUUUCUUAUCUCACUUUCCUAAACCAUUUAUUGAUUGAUGGGUUUUGAUUUGAUUUUUAUACCUACACCUCACUUCUCUCUAUCUCCAUCAUCAUCAUCAUCAGAUUCUCACUCUCUCUCUCUCUUUUUCUUCCUUUCUCACUUGCUCAUGUUUGGACUUUGGAUGUAUGUAAUUAUAUAUUCAUUGUUUAUUGAUGAUUAUCAAUGAAUAGUUAACACCAGCCUCUCCCCUUCACAAACACUCACUCACACUCUCUCACUCUCCCCAAUCCCCAUUACUUACUUUUUUUCUUCUGGUGACAUGCUUUCUUGACUUCUCCUAUUCUGCAGCCGCCAUCUUGUCUGGAUUAGCACUGUGCUCAAACGUGUCUUGGGUAAGUAGAAUAAUGGCUUUUCCCCCAUUUUCUCAUGCUUGCUUACUGGCUUAAUGGCUUUUCCCUAAUUUUAAAAGAUGCAGUUUAUGUAGCUUUAAAACUUUAAAUAUUUGCUUUAUGGAUUUAGAUUCCUUAUGUGAUUCUUAGCAAUUCAUAGCACAUGUUUGGAAACUUGUUUCAAAAUAACGGUGAAGUCAAAAUUAUGAUGACAAUAGUAAAAGCUAAGAGAAGUCACUUCUGUUGUCACCAUUAUUUUGACUUCUGUGUGUUUCUUACAAACGAGAUUCUAAAUAAACACUUGAUUAUUCUUUAUCACAUGCUUCUUAUUGUUGAAAGUUGAAAACUCACUGCAUAUUUGCAUAUACUUUAGGAGUUGUCAGGCAUUGCAAUAAUGACGACCGACUGUGACUUUUGGACAUUGAUUAAUCAAGGAGCUUUACUUUGGUAAUCAAGGUGAAUAAUUAACUAUCAGCUUAAUGUUUAGUGAUAUAUAUUGAUUUGCUCUUUUCUGUGAUACUUAAUUACUAGUAAAUAGCUGAUAUGAAAUGUGGGAUUUAUAUUGUAUGAAGAAAGUGAAACUUCUCAUACAAAAAACUGUCAUUUUAAUUCAUCCAAGAUAUACAUUGUUGUUAAAUGACAUAUUGUUUCCUUCAAAGUUCAAAGUAUCAUCAUCUACAUUAGAAUGGGAUGGUAAGAGAAUUGUCUUCCUAUAAUGGCACAAUACACUUUGGUUAAUGUAGUGCUGAUAUAUACCAUAUCUCAUUUUAAUUAUUCAGAUAUAUGCUGUUCAUGUUUAAUUGGUUGAAAGAUUGAUAGAAAUCACCCAGGUUUAAAUGUUAGGGUCAUCUGCUACAAAAUACACUGUUGAUAGCAUAAAAAGGAGAUAAUCAAACAGAAUGUUACAUUCUCACAGUGUAAAAUGGGGAAACCAAAAGCUACAAUUAUAUAGGACACUAAGAUGAAUAGUAAGGGAGACAAGACAAACAUAGGAGCAGGACUUUUCUUUAAACACACAGACUUAAAUGCGAUGCAUUUCUGUUAAAAUAAUAUGAGUGAUUCAGAUCCUUGGGUGAAAUUAAUUUCUAUGAGCUCACCUCUAAAUUCUUGGGAGAAUCCUUAUGACUGCUGGAAAUUAAUGUAGAAUGAAAGAGACAGGAAAUAGAACUUUUUCAUUUGGGGGUAUUUGUGUUGGGGGUUGGGAGGAUCAACAAGUUUAAGAUGCCUUGGAGCCCAACAAGGCAGGAGAAGAUAGCUAGGACAAUAGAAGAUUCAAAAUCAAUUGUUUGCUCUUUGACUUUUGUUGCAUCAUAUUCUCUUAUUCCCCUUGCUAUCUGAUCUUGCAUAUCCAAGUUUAGAAAAUCAAAUGAUAAUCAAGAGGAAAGUUAGGCAUGUUUAGAUACAAUGUGAAAACCACAAUGUAGUUAAAAUCACCCUAAAAGUUAAGACCAAUUAUUUUUAUUUACCAUGUUUUUCUACUGUGUAUCCAAACAUGCAUUAAAUACAUGUUUGAAAUUGCUUGAAUAAUUGAUUCUGCACCCAAAUUAAGUUGGAAGAGAAGCUCAUGUUUGAAUGUUAGAAAAAGAAGUAAAUGCAAGAUGAUAUAUGUAAGUUGAAAAUCGUACCAUGUCAAUACAUAGACGGUUUUAUAGCAUGGUUUUUUCCUUUAAAAGUAAUUAUAGCACUUAGAAGAAACUACCAAAAUCUUCUAAAAAAAUUAAUUUUGGCUUUAUAAUCCAUCGUAGAAGAAGAAUUUUUAAAUAUGUACUUUAUUUUUUAUUUUAGUCAUACUUCAUUUGAUUUUAGGGCAAUAUAUUUUUUAUGUGCUAUGAGAAACUCUUUUAUGAGAUUUUUCUCCAUUAGUCUUGGUUUUAUACUUCACACAUAAAUGCAAGAAAUAUUAUGUGUGUGUGGCGUUAAUCACAAUUUAAUACCAUUCCUAGACUAGAGUAUUAGGCUUCAUGCUUGUCAUAAACAAUUGGCUUGUAGGAGUAUAUUCAUGAUUCUUCGCAACAUGAAGGUUGUCAAUGUUUUGGGAUCAUCCCAAGAAACAGUGUACGAAACGCAAUUCCUGUCAGUUAUACGGUUGUAUUGAUUUUAAUGGUUAUUAAUUCUGUUCAAUUUCCGUGUGUGCUCAUUAAUUAAUAGUUGCUACUUAUGGGUGUUUUGUGCAGAAGGGAAAAAAAUAGAAGAACCACAGAACCUAUGAUGUGAAGAUCUGAAGGUUGCCGUCUCCGUAAGAUUUAACUGAGGUACUACAAUUAAUCGUUGGCAUUUUUAACCAUUGUUUUAUCACAUUCGAUAAUUUCACGGUCAGCGCACUAAACUCUAGGGUAUGCCAACUUCUUAAUUUUUACCUUGCAUUUAGGUUUUUUUUUAAUCGGCCAAAUUUUGCCUAAGAUAUUGAUUUCUAGACUUUUCCUUCUCUAAUCUUUUAUGUUUCUAGCUCACUCUCAUAUAUCUCCAACUUUAACCACUUGAAUCAUUAGGGGUCUUGCACUUGGGUGAUUCACUUACUAAUAUUUUUGGAAAGAAAUUCACUUACUAAUAUUUGAGUCAAGAUAUUAGGAGCUCAUUUGAUUGAUGUUUUAGUUUUCUUUUUAAAAAAAAUUAGUUUUAGAUUUUAAAAUCUAUUUUUCAAAAGGAAACAGAAAAAAUUGUUUGAUUGAAAUGUUUUACAAUAUAGAAAUAUAGAAUUUGAAGACUGAAAACAAAAUAGAAAACACAUCUGAGAUGUUUUUAAAAAUUAGUUUUAGAUUUUAAAACAGUUUUUAUAAACAAAUAAUCACAAAUAAGAUUUUAAAAACAUAACAACGUUUUCAAACACGUACUGGAGAUAAUCAGAGGGUAGCUGUAGGUGAUUCUUGCACUCAUCAAAUCAAUUGCCAUUUAUUUUUCAUAUUUGUGUGCACUUAAAUAAGUCUUCAAUUUAAUUGUAAAAGAUAUGCAGAAAGAAAAAUCACUCUCAAGUUGCCAAUCCACAGAAAAUGGGCACACACAUAUGAUUCACUGUUAAAAAGGUGGAUGUAGACAAUAAUUGUUUUUAAGUGCCUGGUUGAUCUAAUUCAGUAGUAUAUUUUCACUGGGUUGUGGGGGUGUAUAUGGUACACUGCCACCACUCGUAACUAUUUGGUAACUAUAUUAUUGUUUAAAACUUUUUAUUGUUACAAAAUUUAUGACAAUUUUAUGUUUACAAAUUAUAAGUGGCCUAGUGUACACAACCCCUAUUUUCAUUGUGAAAUGUUGACAGGUAAGAGUAUCAUGUUUGCAAGUACGUGCCGUCGUCAAAUUAAACUCACCUCUAAUAUUAUAAAAUCAAUAUAUAAUUCCCCCCAUGAAUAACUGAUAGUUAUAACAAUGCAUGAACCAUAAGAAAAUGUCACAAUACAUUAAGUUUGGAAAUCAGGAAAAGCCUCUAUAGAUUAUAGAAACAUAAAUCAUGUAUUGUUUUAAUUAGUUUCUGAACUUCUAACGCCAUAAACAUAUCAAUUUAAUUUGGAGUAUAAAAAUUGUUUUUUUAUAUGGAUCAUGAUAAGGCUUUUGUUUCUAUUUUGUUUGUUUGAAUUUACCCGCAAAUUAAUUAAUUGUAACACAUAAAACAUAUUGUGAAUAUCAUGCACUAAAUGUUGCAUUUUAUUACAAGUGAAAAUACGACUCAUCUGAUCGGUUUUUAAUAUGG
rnacentral:lncRNA from 1 species